rnacentral:rRNA from 1 species
AGCAGCCGCGGUAAUUCCAGCUCCAAUAGCGUAUAUUAAAGUUGUUGCAGUUAAAAAGCUCGUAGUUGAAUUUCGGGGUCAGUAGGUCGGUCGUGCCACUGGUAUGAACUGGUUUUACUGAUUCCUCCCUCUUGAAGAACUGUAAUGCCAUUAAUUUGGUGUUGCAGGGAAUCAGGACUGUUACUUUGAAAAAUUAGAGUGUUUAAAGCAGGCUUUAGCUUGAAUACAUUAGCAUGGAAUAAUGAAAUAGGACGUUUGAUCCUAUUUUGUUGGUUUCUAGGAUUGACGUAAUGAUUAAUAGGGAUAGUUGGGGGCAUUAGUAUUCAAUUGUCAGAGGUGAAAUUCUUGGAUUUAUUGAAGACUAACUACUGCGAAAGCAUUUGCCAAGGAUGUUUUCAUUAAUCAAGAACGAAAGUUAGGGGAUCGAAGACGAUCAGAUACCGUCGUAGC